GAUGAACGCUGGCGGCGUGCCUAAUACAUGCAAGUCGAGCGAACAGAUGAGGAGCUUGCUCCUCUGACGUUAGCGGCGGACGGGUGAGUAACACGUGGAUAACCUACCUAUAAGACUGGGAUAACUUCGGGAAACCGGAGCUAAUACCGGAUAAUAUAUUGAACCGCAUGGUUCAAUAGUGAAAGACGGUGUUGCGGUCACUUAUAGAUGGAUCCGCGCCGCAUUAGCUAGUUGGUAAGGUAACGGCUUACCAAGGCAACGAUGCGUAGCCGACCUGAGAGGGUGAUAGGCCACACUGGAACUGAGACACGGUCCAGACUCCUACGGGAGGCAGCAGUAGGCAAUCUUCCGCAAUGGGCGAAAGCCUGACGGAGCAACGCCGCGUGAGUGAUGAAGGUCUUCGGAUCGUAAAACUCUGUUAUUAGGGAAGAACAAAUGUGUAAGUAACUAUGCACGUCUUGACGGUACCUAAUCAGAAAGCCACGGCUAACUACGUG
rnacentral:rRNA from 1 species